rnacentral:sRNA from 2 species
AGUUGAUGCACAUGGCGGUUCUCUCCCAGUGCCGCUGCAUUAGCUGUUCCCCUCUGGAGGUUGAAUAACCUUCACACCUUAAAGGGCCCCGUUCAUUCGGUGGCCCUCUUUU